rnacentral:rRNA from 1 species
UAGGGAAUAUUGGACAAUGGGCGAGAGCCUGAUCCAGCCAUGCCGCGUGCAGGAAGAAGGCCUUCUGGGUCGUAAACUGCUUUUCACCGGGGAUAAAAAGGCCUUGCGAGGCAAAUUGAAGGUACCGGUGGAAUAAGCCACGGCUAACUACGUGCCAGCAGCCGCGGUAAUACGUAGGUGGCAAGCGUUGUCCGGAUUUAUUGGGUUUAAAGGGUGCGUAGGCGGCCCUGUAAGUCAGUGGUGAAAUACGGCAGCUCAACUGUCGAGGUGCCAUUGAUACUGCGGGGCUUGAGUACUGAUGAGGUAGGCGGAAUUGACGGUGUAGCGGUGAAAUGCUUAGAUAUCGUCAAGAACACCGAUAGCGAAGGCAGCUUACUAAACAGUAACUGACGCUGAGGCACGAAAGUGCGGGGAUCAAACAGGAUUAGAUACCCCCGUAGUCC